rnacentral:rRNA from 1 species
AAUCAACGCUGGCGGCGUGCCUCAGACAUGCAAGUCGAACGCGAAAGAGGGCUUCGGCCCUUGAGUAGAGUGGCGCACGGGUGAGUAACACGUGGGUAAUUUACCUUUGGGUGGGGAAUAACAGUCGGAAACGGCUGCUAAUACCGCAUAAUGCAGCGGCUCCACAUGGAGACAGUUGUUAAAGCGGGGGAGCGAGCAAUCGCCCUCGCGCCUGAAGAGAAGCCCGCGGCAGAUUAGCUAGUUGGUGAGGUAAUGGCUCACCAAGGCUUCGAUCUGUAGCCGGCCUGAGAGGGCGGUCGGCCACACUGACACUGAAUAACGGGUCAGACUCCUACGGGAGGCAGCAGUCGGGAAUUUUGGGCAAUGGGCGCAAGCCUGACCCAGCAACGCCGCGUGAAGGAU